rnacentral:rRNA from 1 species
GGUUGUGCCCUUGAGGCGUGGCUUCCGGAGCUAACGCGUUAAGUAGACCGCCUGGGGAGUACGGCCGCAAGGUUAAAACUCAAAUGAAUUGACGGGGGCCCGCACAAGCGGUGGAGCAUGUGGUUUAAUUCGAUGCAACGCGAAGAACCUUACCUGGUCUUGACAUCCACGGAAGUUUUCAGAGAUGAGAAUGUGCCUUCGGGAACCGUGAGACAGGUGCUGCAUGGCUGUCGUCAGCUCGUGUUGUGAAAUGUUGGGUUAAGUCCCGCAACGAGCGCAACCCUUAUCCUUUGUUGCCAGCGGUUAGGCCGGGAACUCAAAGGAGACUGCCAGUGAUAAACUGGAGGAAGGUGGGGAUGACGUCAAGUCAUCAUGGCCCUUACGACCAGGGCUACACACGUGCUACAAUGGCGCAUACAAAGAGAAGCGACCUCGCGAGAGCAAGCGGACCUCAUAAAGUGCGUCGUAGUCCGGAUUGGAGUCUGCAACUCGACUCCAUGAAGUCGGAAUCGCUAGUAAUCGUGGAUCAGAAUGCCACGGUGAAUACGUUCCCGGGCCUUGUACACACCGCCCGUCACACCAUGGGAGUGGGUUGCAAAAGAAGUAGGUAGCUUAACCUUCGGGAGGGCGCUUACCACUUUGUGAUUCAUGACUGGGGUGAAGUCGUAACAAGGUAACCGUAGGGGAACCUGC